rnacentral:rRNA from 1 species
AUGUCAGGCCUGAAUGUUGGUAUGGGAUCUGCUCGUGGUGCUCAACUGGAUGCAGGAUUUGCGAAGCUUCAAGGCAAAGACUUCCAGUACAUCAUGCAAUCUUAUGAAAUCAUCGUGAGAUGCAAUUCCAAGAAAGGAAAGGUAGACUUUGAUCUUAGCGCCGUUGGCGGAGAUAGGGAUGUUUCCCGCCUCCAUGCACGCAUCUUCUAUGAUUUUCAACACCGCUCGUUUUCCCUUGAGGUUCUGGGCCAACAUGGAUGCUAUGUUCAGAGGGUCCUUCACCGCCCAAGUGAUGAUCCCGUUAAACUGAAGUCCCAGGAUCUCAUUCAGAUGGGACAAACACGAUUCUACUUUCUCCUACCAGCUCGCCCCAUCUUUGCAUCCUUUGCUGCUGAGGGAACUCCACACUCCUCUAAUUUUCAUGGCCAAUCCGUUCAUAUUGGUUCUGCCACAGCUUCUCCUCGGCAAACUCAUAUUCCAUCAUAA